CACGUAGGGCGCAAGCGUUGUCCGGAAUUAUUGGGCGUAAAGAGCGUGUAGGCGGCCAGAUAGGUCCGUUGUGAAAACUCGAGGCUCAACCUCGAGACGCCGAUGGAAACCAUCUGGCUAGAGUCCGGAAGAGGAGAGUGGAAUUCCUGGUGUAGCGGUGAAAUGCGCAGAUAUCAGGAAGAACACCCGUGGCUAAGGCGGCUCUCUAGUACGGUACUGACGCUGAGACGCGAAAGCGUGGGGAGCGAACAGG
rnacentral:rRNA from 1 species